rnacentral:rRNA from 1 species
GAUGAACGCUGGCGGCGUGCCUAAUACAUGCAAGUCGAGCGAACAGACGAGGAGCUUGCUCCUCUGACGUUAGCGGCGGACGGGUGAGUAACACGUGGAUAACCUACCUAUAAGACUGGGAUAACUUCGGGAAACCGGAGCUAAUACCGGAUAAUAUAUUGAACCGCAUGGUUCAAUAGUGAAAGACGGUUUUGCUGUCACUUAUAGAUGGAUCCGCGCCGCAUUAGCUAGUUGGUAAGGUAACGGCUUACCAAGGCAACGAUGCGUAGCCGACCUGAGAGGAGGAUCAGUCAGACUGGAUAUAAGACACGACACAGACUCCUACGAGAGGAAGCAGUGGGGAAUAUUGGACAAUGGGCGCAAGCCUGAACCAGCCAUACAGCGUGGGUGAAGAAGGCCUUCGGGUUGUAAAGCCCUGUUGUUGGGAAAGAAAAGAAGCAGGUUAAUACCCCGCUGUUCUGACGGUACCCAAAGAAUAAGCACAGGCUAAGUUCGUG